UACGUAGGGGGGCAAGCGUUGUCCGGAAUCAUUGGGCGUAAAGAGCGUGUAGGCGGCCAGAUAAGUCCGCUGUGAAAUCUCGAGGCUCAACUUCGAGCUGUCGGUGGAAACUGGCUGGCUAGAGUCCGGAAGAGGAGAAUGGAAUUCCUGGUGUAGCGGUGAAAUGCGCAGAUAUCAGGAAGAACACCCGUGGCGAAGGCGGUUCUCUGGGACGGUACUGACGCUGAGACGCGAAAGCGUGGGGAGCGAACAGG
rnacentral:rRNA from 1 species